rnacentral:rRNA from 1 species
GUCUUUGAGGUUAUCAAUUUAAAGUCUAGCCUGCUCACUGAUAGAAUAUUAAAGGGCCGCGGUAAUUUGACCGUGCGAAGGUAGCAUAAUCAUUUGUCUUUUAAUUGAGGGCUGGAAUGAACGGUUGGAUGAGGGGUCAAGUGUCUCUGUGUCUUAGUUAAAAUUUUACUUUUAAGUGAAAAGGCUUAAAUCUGAUUAAGUGAAGAUAAGACCCUAUAAAACUUAUAUAAAAGUGAGGUACGUCGUUUUUAAUAUUGUUCAGAAUUGGGUGCUUGAGAUUAUAUUUUGCUGGGGCGGUAGUAAUAGAAUGAGGUAUCUGUUGUUUCUAAUAGGUUAGUUGUGAUUAAAAGAUGAGCCUUUUAUAGGGAUUAAAAGAUCAAGUUACUUUAGGGAUAACAGCGUGAUUUUCCUUGAGAGAUCUAAUCGACAGGAGUAGUUGCGACCUCGAUGUUGAAUNAAAAUCUUCUACAAAGUGCAGAAGCUUUGUUAGUGAGUCUGUUCGACUCUUAAAAUUUUACAUGAUUUGAGUUCAAACCGGUGUGAGCCAGGU